GUCAGAUUGAUAACUCAGUUGGUUAGAGUGUGGUGCUGAUAAUGCCAAGGUUGCAGGUUCGAUCCCCGUAUGGGACA
rnacentral:tRNA from 1 species